rnacentral:rRNA from 1 species
AGCCUGGGAAACUGGGUCUAAUACCGGAUAGGACCUCAAGACGCAUGUCUUCUGGUGGAAAGCUUUUGCGGUGUGGGAUGGGCCCGCGGCCUAUCAGCUUGUUGGUGGGGUGACGGCCUACCAAGGCGACGACGGGUAGCCGGCCUGAGAGGGUGUCCGGCCACACUGGGACUGAGAUACGGCCCAGACUCCUACGGGAGGCAGCAGUGGGGAAUAUUGCACAAUGGGCGCAAGCCUGAUGCAGCGACGCCGCGUGGGGGAUGACGGCCUUCGGGUUGUAAACCUCUUUCACCAUCGACGAAGGUCCGGGUUUUCUCGGAUUGACGGUAGGUGGAGAAGAAGCACCGGCCAACUACGUGCCAGCAGCCGCGGUAAUACGUAGGGUGCGAGCGUUGUCCGGAAUUACUGGGCGUAAAGAGCUCGUAGGUGGUUUGUCGCGUUGUUCGUGAAAUCUCACGGCUUAACUGUGAGCGUGCGGGCGAUACGGGCAGACUAGAGUACUGCAGGGGAGACUGGAAUUCCUGGUGUAGCGGUGGAAUGCGCAGAUAUCAGGAGGAACACCGGUGGCGAAGGCGGGUCUCUGGGCAGUAACUGACGCUGAGGAGCGAAAGCGUGGGGAGCGAACAGGAUUAGAUACCCUGGUAGUCCACGCCGUAAACGGUGGGUACUAGGUGUGGGUUUCCUUCCUUGGGAUCCGUGCCGUAGCUAACGCAUUAAGUACCCCGCCUGGGGGAGUACGGCCGCAAGGCUAAAACUCAAAGGAAUUGACGGGGGCCCGCACAAGCGGCGGAGCAUGUGGAUUAAUUCGAUGCAACGCGAAGAACCUUACCUGGGUUUGACAUGCACAGGACGCGUCUAGAGAUAGGCGUUCCCUUGUGGCCUGUGUUGCAAGGGGGUGCAUGGGCUGUCGUCCACCUCGUGUCGUGAGAUGUUGGGUUAAGUCCCGCAACGAGCGCAACCCUUGUCUCAUGUUGCCAGCGGGUAAUGCCGGGGACUCGUGAGAGACUGCCGGGGUCAACUCGGAGGAAGGUGGGGAUGACGUCAAGUCAUCAUGCCCCUUAUGUCCAGGGCUUCACACAUGCUACAAUGGCCGGUACAAAGGGCUGCGAUGCCGUAAGGUUAAGCGAAUCCUUUUAAAGCCGGUCUCAGUUCGGAUUGGGGUCUGCAACUCGACCCCAUGAAGUCGGAGUCGCUAGUAAUCGCAGAUCAGCAACGCUGCGGUGAAUACGUUCCCGGGCCUUGUACACACCGCCCGUCACGUCAUGAAAGUCGGUAACACCCGAAGCCAGUGGCCUAACC